rnacentral:lncRNA from 1 species
GAAAAGGCUCUGAAACAGAUCCAAGAUGUUGUUUGAGCCAUGCAACUAGAAGAUCUCAUAGAACUAAAGUUAUCUAAUUUACAGAAAAGGUUUUACGUGACGUCUAUUGUACAGAUUCAUAUGAAAACCAUAGUUCAAACUCCAAGGUUUAAGAAGUAAGAAAGAUCAUGCCAUUUGCAACAAACAUGCAUGCAUAUUUGAAAAGCAACUGUAAGUAUGCUAUUGGACAUUGGUAAAGAUUGAAUAUCUGACCAUGGCAUAUCAAGAAACCAUGGAAUGAGUACUGCUUAUCAAGAUCUGGGUGUGAGAAGACUUAAAAAGUCAGAUAGUCAGUGAGAACCAGCUAGAAUCCAUGAAAUUGUGACCAAUAAGAAUCCCAGAGAAGUUCUGCCCUAAUGGAGUCAACUUGAUUUGAGAUGCAAAUAGAUUUGCGCAAUUGAAAAAGUGGGAAGAUGAAGUGUUUGGAGGGCUUUUAAAUGGAGUAAAAUGGAAACAAAGACAAGUUAUCCCAACACCAAAAAGAGUAGGGGAUAGAAGGAUAUGUCAAGGUUUGAAAACCAUCCUUCAGAAAUGCAGGAAAGUCAAAGCUAGAAAUUUCUUUUAUGGUACCCAGGAUUUGUUUUAAUUAAGUUUGAUAAGGCACACAGGCACGAACGUGAUUGUGGUUAAUAAAGGCAUUUGCAUUAUUCUCACGGUCUCCUAAAAAUAGAAGGCCCAGCACACUAUGCCUGGGAAGUAUCUGCAUGAGAUGAGCAGGCAGAGAGGAGAGCUGAGGGCAGGGCCUUGACUGGAGUUUUUGUUGGGAGGAAUGGACAAUGGAAAGCACGCAAGCCAAAUCUGUUGUGGGAAAACUAGAAGACCAAAAAAAGCACGAAAGUCAAGAAAGAAGUCUCUUUUCACAUGAAAGUGGCUGUGCUAAUGGUCUAUCAAGAUAUCCUGAGUUUCCAGUAGAGAUGUUUCAGCCAUAACACAGGCCUGGUAGAAAAAGCCUGAAGACAAAUACUGCUAUGAAUGGUUACAUCUAGGACUUCUGAAAUUAGCCCCAGAUUCAACUCAUUUUUUUCUGCAUUUGCUGAGCAAUAUGACAUGUUUACACCGAUUAGCUAAAAAGUUAUGUGAAGAAUGGGCAACAAUAUCUCUAAGUAACUAGGAGACCAUGUCCCUUGGCAUAAGUAUUGAUCUUCAAUAAUUUGUCCUUGAUAUUGAGAGAAGAGGAUCAAACUAUUUGAACCGGAUUGCUGUACUUCAACAUGUAAAGUGAAAAUGCAGACCCAGUUGACUAUAUUUCACUCAUUUGGGCCAAAGAAGCAGAAGUUUAUUAACAAAGAAGGAGAAUAACAAAAGAAAUAUAAGAUGGAAAGAAAAGCAAAAAGAAAGAAAACUAAAGAAAAAGCAAAAGAAAGAAUACUAAAUCUGAAAUACAUUUUCGUCCCCAAAUCAAGUUGACCCUGAUUGACCACGGGUAACUGAAACUGCAGAAGGCAAAACCAUAGAGAAG